rnacentral:rRNA from 1 species
GACGAACGCUGGCGGCGUGCUUAACACAUGCAAGUCGAACGGGAGUAUUGAAGAAGCUUGCUUUAGAGAUACUUUAGUGGCGGACGGGUGAGUAACGCGUGAGGAGCUGUCCUAUGCAGGGGGACAACAGUUGGAAACGACUGCUAAUACCCCAUAAGCCGAGAGGUAAAAGGAAUUAUCCGGCAGAGGAGGUACUCGCGUCCUAUCAGCUAGUAGGUGAGGUAACGGCUCACCUAGGCGAAGACGGGUAGCCGGCCUGAGAGGGCGAACGGCCACACUGGAACUGAGAUACGGUCCAGACUCCUACGGGAGGCAGCAGUGGGGAAUAUUGGGCAAUGGGGGCAACCCUGACCCAGCGACGCCGCGUGGGUGAAGAAAUCCCUCGGGAUGUAAAGCCCUGUUGUAUGGGAAGAGCAGAAGACGGUACCAUACGAGGAAGCCCCGGCAAACUACGUGCCAGCAGCCGCGGUAAGAC